UCUAGCACCUUCGGUGUUCGAGUUGUAAUUUGAAGAUGGUAACCUUGGGUUUGGCUCUUGUCUAUGUUCCUUGGAACAGGACGUCAUAGAGGGUGAGAAUCCCGUCUGAUGAGAUGCCCAUUCCUAUGUAAGGUGCUAUCGAAGAGUCGAGUUGUUUGGGAAUGCAGCUCUAAGUGGGUGGUAAAUUCCAUCUAAAGCUAAAUAUUGGCGAGAGACCGAUAGCGAACAAGUACAGUGAUGGAAAGAUGAAAAGAACUUUGAAAAGAGAGUGAAAAAGUACGUGAAAUUGUUGAAAGGGAAGGGCAUUAGAUCAGACUUGGUGUUUUACGAUUAUCUUCUCUUCUUGAGUUGUGCACUCGUAUUUCACUGGGCCAGCAUCGAUUCGGAUGGCAAGAUAAUGGCAGUUGAAUGUGGCUUCACUUCGGUGGAGUGUUAUAGCUUCUGCUGAUAUUGCCUGUCUGGAUCGAGGGCUGCGUCUUUUGACUAGGAUGCUGGCGUAAUGAUCUAAUGCCGCCCGUCUUGAAACACGGACCA
rnacentral:rRNA from 1 species